rnacentral:rRNA from 1 species
UACGGGGGGGGCAAGCGUUGUUCGGAAUUACUGGGCGUAAAGGGCGCGUAGGCGGUUUGCUAAGUUGGAUGUGAAAACUCUGGGCUUAACCCAGAGCCUGCAUCCAAAACUGGCAAACUUGAGUACUGGAGGGGAAAGCGGAAUUCCUGGUGUAGCGGUGAAAUGCGUAGAUAUCAGGAGGAACACCGGUGGCGAAGGCGGUUCUCUGGGCCUUACCUGACGCUGAGGAGCGAAAGCGUGGGGAGCAAACAGG